rnacentral:lncRNA from 1 species
AGGGACACUAAAACGUGAGUUGUGCGGGUGACCAGUGUCCUUGACCUUUAAUACUGAUUGGGACAGCAAAUGCUUUUUAAGGCCUCCAGAAUUGAAAUCGAAUCCAAGAUUGUUUAAUAUUCAAGAAACCACUGCUAGCAACAACAUUAAUGGUGCUCAUUGUUUCCUACUUGAAAAUUAAACCAUCUCGGUACCCAUAUUAAUAUCUUCCAAAUUAAUUCCUACCCAGAAGUCCAAGAGCACAUAAUUAAGAAUGGCUUAAAUUCAUGUAGAAAUGGUGAGAUUACGAAACAGGCCCUAGACGAAGAGUGGGAUUUGGUUUCUUUAAGGGCAUUAUUAAAAGCAAAGUCGCAGUCUGUAGGUAUCUGGGAGUGGGUGCAGAAGGGGUACGUAUGUUGCAAAUUUAUAUGAGAUCGUUUUUGUCUUUUUAUAAGUUUAGCAAAGUCCUGUCUAUUGAUUUAAAGGAAACAGAUUUGAUUUUGAGAAGACGUAGUGUGUGGCCAAAGGGAUGAGCUGUCCCUUCACAGCAAGCAAACCCAGAAUGUGAAUUCCUUUUUCUCCCCUGCUGCUGCU